rnacentral:rRNA from 1 species
CGGACGGGUGAGUAACGCGUGAGGGAAGAAAGCCUACUGGGUUGUAAACCUCUUUUUUCAGGGAGGAAAAAAAUGACGUGUACCUGAAGAAUAAGCAUCGGCUAACUCCGUGCCAGCAGCCGCGGUAAGACGGAGGAUGCAAGUGUUAUCCGGAAUUACUGGGCGUAAAGCGUCUGUAGGUGGUUUAAUAAGUCAACUGUUAAAUCUUGAGGCUUAACUUCAAAGCAGCAGUCGAAACUAUUAGACUAGAGUAUAGUAGGGGUAAAGGGAAUUUCCAGUGGAGCGGUGAAAUGCGUAGAUAUUGGAAAGAACACCGAUGGCGAAAGCACUUUACUGGGCUAUUACUAACACUCGGAGACGAAAGCUAGGGUAGCAAAUGGGAUUAGAUACCCCAGUAGUC